UACCACGCACACCGACGUCCGGUAGAAGAAGUAGAGGGGAGGGCAGGGGAGUAACCAAGCAAAAUACACGUCCCGUCCGACGACGACGACCUCCGCGUGCAGCGGACGGAGGCGCAGUGGUGGGGGCAGCUGGUCGAGGGGGCGUAGCGGCGCGUCUAGCGGCGCGCGCGGGGCGGCGGGCACGGGGGGCGGCAGCGCGGGCGGCCGCCGCUCCUCGAGCUGGAGAAGUACUGUGUGAUACACGACGAGGAGACAAGGAAGUUCCUUGUCGAGGUCGUCGUACACGCGCAGGUGCGGGACCUCCGCCACUACCGGACGACCCUCGAGCUCGUUUGAGACGUCUCAGAAUGUCCCCGUAGAGGACCACUUCCGUGGCCCCGUUGAUACAGGCUACUGCUUCUGUUAGGCCAGCUGUCACUCUCGUUGUACAAACUGCCCUUACUACACAGUCUACCGUACCCGAAGCCUUACGAUUGGCUCCCACUCUCUAGGAACCAGCUCGCGCACUCCGUUCUCGACUUCGUACUCGAAUUUGUCCCCAUAUCUCUUUUCGAACACCUGUAGUCCCUCUUCUACGACGCCUUCGCUUCUCGGCCUUUCGAGGGUCCCCUGUGCCGCAGAUGGGACUUUCGAACCACCGUUCGGGUGCGGUUUACCGGCAUGGGUUGACUCCUCCUGUUCCGCGCCGACCACGUCCUCUGCCCCGACGUCGACUUCGUCUAGUUGUUGACCAAGUAGUUGGUCGCGUUCGCCUUGACCGUGUCGUUGGGAUGGAGCAGGAGCAGUCUGUUCUCGUUCUCUUUUUCCUUGUUACGUCCACUCCCGUUGCGGCUCGUCAGGACCAUC
rnacentral:rRNA from 1 species